rnacentral:rRNA from 1 species
UACGGGGGGAGCAAGCGUUGUUCGGAUUUACUGGGCGUAAAGGGCGCGUAGGCGGCCACCGCAAGUCGACUGUGAAAUCUCCGGGCUUAACUCGGAAAGGUCAACCGAUACUGCAGGGCUAGAGUGCAGAAGGGGCAACUGGAAUUCUCGGUGUAGCGGUGAAAUGCGUAGAUAUCGAGAGGAACACCUGCGGCGAAGGCGGGUUGCUGGGCUGACACUGACGCUGAAGCGCGAAAGCUAGGGGAGCGAACGGG